rnacentral:lncRNA from 13 species
AAGGACUUUUGCACAAUUAGCUUAUUUCAGAAAUAAAUGCCAAUUGGAUUAAUCUGCAAAAUCUUGGCAGUGUAUUGAUACCAAUCACCUUUUGUCACUAUUACCUCUGUUUCCUUAAAUACAGGGGGCCAGAGAAAAAGAUUGCUUCUUACAGGAAUCAGUAUAUAUUUGCACUAAAGAAAGCACAGGGCAAUGAGUCUUUCUUCCCUCUUUUCCUCUUGAACCUUGUACAAUGUUAAAUUUCAACUUAUUUUUUCGAUAUAAAGUCUCUAAUUAUUCUAGAUCUAUGUUUGGACGUAAGAUUUCUUUGUUUGGGGGCUUAAAACUACCCAUCAAAAUUUAAUCUAUUGGUAUUAUUAUUUGCAAAUUUCUAGUAGUCAUUUUUAUGGUCUACAACUAUGGGUGUUACUGUUCCCUAUCCAUCUUAUAAUUUCAACUAAAUCAAGCAAUGAAAAUUUUAUAGUGCAUCCCUAAUUGUGCACCAGACUGGAACUGUUCAUACAAAUUCUAAGCAAUUAUAAGGCUUUCUGGGAAACAUUGGCAGCAAACUCUGGAUUAAAUGUUUAUAACAGCAAGCCAGAUGGGAAACAGAGAUAAGAAAAAUCUCAUGGAAACUUAUUUUUUUUUUCCCAGACCACAUUAUUUUAAAUUAACCUGGCCAAGGGGAAGCACUUUCACAUUGUUGACCAGUAAAGAGUUUUUGGCCCCAUGAAACCUGGAUCC